UGAUGCAGUGAUCACCACCUUGUCACAUCCCUUCUGUCUGCACCUGUGGGGAAAAUCUUAAGGUUUAGUCAGGUGGGGUGUGACAAGGAAGUCGAAAGAAUCA